UCCCUGGUGGUCCAAUGGUUAGGGCUCUGCACUCCCAAUGCAGGGGACCUGGGUUUGAUCCCUAGUUAAGGAA